rnacentral:rRNA from 1 species
CCCUUAGAUGUUCUGGGCAGCACGCGCACUACAAUGGUCUUCGCAAACGGAUGCAUUCUCGAAGGAGAAUGCCAAUCUUGGAAUCUAUGCCUUGGUCGGGACAGUUGCUUGCAAUUUUUCGACUCGAACCAGGAAUUCCUUGUAAUCGUGAUUCAUCACAUCACGAUGAAUACGUCCCUGCCCUUUGUACACACCGCCCGUCGCUCCCACCGAUCGAAGAGUUAGGUGAAUUGUUUUGAUCGAUAAGAUUUGACUAUGGUCAACUCUCGUUGUGAAAUUCUGUGAAUCUGACUGUUUAGAGGAAGGAAAAGUCGUAACA